CCAAAUUUCAGGGCCUGAUGUGCAUUUGCUGUAGCCUGAGCAGGUGCGGUGCCUACCUGCAGUCCUCCGUCCUGGGCGGCCACGCACAAGUGCAGCACUCCCAAGUCCCAAGUUCCCAACCACAGCCCACCUGCAGUCCUUUGUUUCUACUUCUGGCAGAAAGAAGGUGUUGGUCAGAGCUUACAUAUCGCCGCACAAAAAAAGCAUGUGUUGUGUUGGGAGUGAGAUCACCAUGGCGGCGUGCAGCCAGUUUUAUAUUGUACUACCCGUGUGUUAGGUACAACAGCCACAGGUGUCUUCUUCGGCUGCCAGCGUGCGCCCCACAAACACAUGAGGAGGAGGGCCGUCGGGGCGCGUCCAUCCGGUCCGGACACCCGAGUACCCGACCUGCUUGCUCAUCGCGCGCACCCGCCAAAGCAACCAACCGCCCCAUCGUCCCCGUCCUGUUCCGGCAGGCAGCCGCUCCCGCUCCCGCUCCCCCACCCCACUCCCCCUCGCGCGGCGCGUUCUCAGAUCCCCCGCCCGGUUGGCACCGGCACCCCGGUCCGAAAUGCGAGGAGCCUUGUAGCGCCUCGGAGCACGGACGGAAUCGCGCCGCAUGCAUCCCAAGCCCGAGGGCGGCGGCGACGACGACGGGGCCGCCGCGGAGGUGGGCUCCCCGCGGUCCGGCUACUUCCGGCAGCGGAGCAUGCACGCCGCCGCCGCCGCCGCGGAUCCGGAGGCGGCGCGCCGGCCGUUCCACGUCGAGAACCCGCCUUGCUCCGCCGGCGGGGGGCUGCGGCCCAGCGAGUCCGUCACCAAGCUGGAGUCGCUGGAGCGUGCCGCGCUGGCGCCCGCCGUGGUGCUCAGGACCGGGUUCUACAUCCUGGUGUGGUACGCGUUCAGCACCUGCCUCACGCUAUAUAACAAGACGCUGCUGGGGGAUAAGCUCGGCAAGUUCCCGGCGCCGCUGCUGAUGAACACCGUGCACUUCGCGCUGCAGGCGGGGCUCUCCAAGCUCAUCAUCUGGUUCCAGCCCAAGGGGCCCGAGGCCGCCGUCGACAUGGGGUGGAAGGACUACUUCAUGAGAGUCGUGCCAACUGCUCUCGGGACGGCCUUGGACAUAAACCUGAGCAACGCGUCUCUGGUGUUCAUCUCGGUGACGUUUGCUACUAUGUGUAAAUCAGCCUCCCCGAUAUUCUUGUUGCUCUUUGCUUUUGCAUUUAGGUUGGAGAAUCCUAGCAUCAAGCUUCUAGGAAUUAUAGUUGUUAUUUCUACUGGAGUUCUGUUGACAGUUUCCAAGGAGACGGAGUUUGACUUCUGGGGCUUCAUUUUUGUGACGCUUGCUGCUGUUAUGUCAGGAUUCCGGUGGUCCAUGACUCAGAUUCUGUUGCAGAAAGACAAUUACGGCCUGAAGAAUCCGAUUACCUUGAUGAGCCAUGUUACACCAGUGAUGGCCAUCGCCACUAUGAUACUAUCUCUAUUACUGGAUCCUUGGAGUGAAUUUCAAAAGAAUUCAUAUUUUGAUAGCCCUUGGCAUGUCAUGCGCAGUUGCUUACUUAUGCUUAUCGGAGGAUCCUUAGCUUUUUUCAUGGUGUUAACAGAGUAUAUACUUAUUUCAGCAACAAGUGCCAUAACCGUGACGAUAGCUGGGGUAGUAAAAGAAGCUGUAACCAUUUUGGUAUGAGAGAUUCAAAAGGGGUCAGAUAAAUGAGGAUGACGUCAGCUCUCCAUUUACUGGUGACGUCAAGUACAUUAUUAUAGACGACUUGGAAUAUCAGAAUGAAUUUGAGGAAGAUACAUAAUUCUGUAAUACAGUGAAUUCUAACUGCCACUGGCUUGUUCAUGCCUGAACCUAUUGAAAUAGUAGUUACUUAUCGAGGUUUUCUCCGGAAAACAUGCACGAAGAACACAGCUAAGGCUAGGUGUGAUUAUACUAUGCACACCAAAAUCUGAUGUGAGCUAUGUUUGUCACGAUGGAUGUUCAAUUCUCGUCUUGGUUGAACAGCCAGGCUGACUACACUGUCAAGCAAAGAGCUAACUCCAUCGGAUCAGAAUUCCCAUUUUGAGAAGACUAGCAGUGGGUUGCAUAUUGAUAUACAUGCUUAUAGCGGGAACUGCUGAGAAUGCUCCGGCAUCUGUAUAUUUGUUGUUCUCUUCGCGUUAGUGCGCUGGGCGCAUAUUCAUUCUUGAACCUCCACAUUUUUAGUGACGAGGUGUAUUCAUUCUCUAUAUAGGUCUGUUUUGUAAAUGUGACCAGAGGAUACCAUACACGUGCUGUUUUCCCUUGAAACCUAGGGAGCGGCAUUUGAUUUUUUCUGUAGACUGUUUCGGGGUACCGAAUAUGUUGUGGAUAUUUGAUUGAAGAAUUAAGAACAGCAGGGUAGAUUGGCUAA